rnacentral:lncRNA from 1 species
GCGAGAUCCAUGGUCACGCAGUCCCUCACCAUCAGCGCUUCCUGGUGGUGGUGUAUGACCUCCACUCUAAGUGGCCAGAAGUGGUUCCUGUCGGAACUGUCACAGCACAGGCCAUCGUGGACAUCCUAGACAGCCUGUUCACAAGGUGGGGCCUGCCCCUCACCCUUACCACGGACAAUGGGCCCCAGCUAAUCUCUGCCGAGUUCUCCUCACAUCUCAGCAACAAGGGAAUCAAACACAUCCGCAUGGCCUACUACAACCCACAAGCUAACGGAGGGGUGGAACGCUUCAACCAAACGCUGAAGAACGGCAUCAGAGCGCACCUGGUCCAGGGGUGCACGUUCCAAACUGCUUUGAAUCAAACGCUAAUGCACUACAGAGCAAGCAAACACGCAACAACACAGACCUCCCCGGCAUCCCUCAUGCUAGGUCGUGAGAUGGAACUGCCACUGGACAGACUCAGAACACAGAGAGUUGCAGAACCGGCGACUAGGUGCACCCAAGAACAGCAGGCAGUGACCAGGCACCAAAGAGCAAUGAAACAGUGUUUUGACAAGGCACACAGAGUGAAGAAGUCGAUCAUCCAAGUGUCUGACUGGGUCCGAGCCCGACGGCCUCAGCGGUGCAACAAAAUGGCCUCAUUCUGGUCAGACCCCUUGCAGGUCAGUCGACAACUGGGGCCCGCCACAUUCAUGUUGAGCAAUGGAUCACGUGGCACGCCAGCCGCCUCAGAAAAGUCCCUGCUCCUCAAGGAAUACAAAUGCACACAGAACAGACAUGCAGGCCAGAGACGCCACCGGAUGGACCUCCCCCACCACUACCACCCGAGCCCCAGCCUCUACGGGCUCCCCAAGGGCCAGAGCCACAAGCGGUGGCGGUUGAAGAAAGGCCUAUGCGGGCACGAACUCGCCCUGCUCAUCUGGGGGACUACUUAACCUCUUUUCAUUCUUAGGCUCCGGUCUCUCUCACUGUUGCCAGCGUUCACCACCCAGGCCUCUAGAGUAACCCAUUCCUUCCACACCUCGCAGGGUUUCACAGAAAUAUUCCAACCUCACAAUUCUGUCACUUUUGUAAUCUCACCCGGUUCUGAGGCCGGUGGGAACUGAGGGAUGAAUUUUAAUUUAAAUUAAAUUUAACCUUUAUUUACCUAGGCAAGCCAGUUAAGAACAAAUUCUUAUUUACAAUGACGGCCUACCAAAAGGCAAAAGGCCUCCUGCGGGGACAUGGGCUGGGAUUAAAAAUAAAAAAUUUAAUUAAAAUAUAGGACAAAACACAUCACGGCAAGAGAGGCAACACAACACUACAUAAAGACAACAACAUAGCAAGGCAGCAACACAUGACAACACAGCAUGGUAGCAACACAACAUGGUAGCAGCACAAAACAUGGUACAAACAUGAAAGAGGAACCCUUUUCCUAAACCUCUGCGCUAAUCCUGACAGACGGGUAGAAUAGGCUGACAACAAUAAGGGGGACAACAAUAGCGUUACGACAGCGAUUGUUGUGGCUGUUUCUACAGCAGAAGAGGGGUGGUCUUAGUUUACAGUGUCGGGAUUCUGUUACGCAAAACCAGAAAGAGGGAAAACAAAGGGUAAUUGAGGUAGUGUGUUUGUUUUUGUGGGUGUGGAGUGCAUGUGGGUCUGAGCAUCCGUGUGUGAGCAUCCUGGAGGCUGGGUUCAGAGUUUAGGGUUGUUUCUGUACCUGGAGUGCCAUUUCAAAUCCCUUUAUGCGCUAUGGUAUAGACGUUAGAGUGGGAGGAGGGUCUUACUCACAUCCUUAGCCAAUGUGAGUAAGACCUUUAAACAGGUUAAAAUUCAGAACAACACAGUUCUUGAUGGAUUACGCAGGACGCGUACUCAGAGCAUGCGCUGACCAGCUGGCAAGUGUAUUCACUGACAUUUUCAACCUCUCCCUGACCGAGUCUGUAAUACCUACAUGCUUCAAUCAGCCCCCCAUAGUCCAAUGUGCCCAAGACCGCCAAGGUAACCUGCCUAAAUGACUACCGCCCUGUAGCACUCACAUCUGUGAUUCCACCCGAAAUCAGCGUGUAACAUUCAAGUGAACACCGCUCACGAUUGUCCUAAAACAUGGCCAGUCCUGGACGUUCUGCCGCCCCGGGCGAGAAGAAAAUCUGCCGCCCUCACAGUAGGUUUGGCCUCGGGCCAAUUUUUUUCUCAGCUAAAAGUCAGAGGAACAGAACAUAACAGCAGCCCAGUUAAUAGGCCUAUGCUGCAAAAUUAAACACAAUUUUUAACACAUCAGAUCAGUAGGCUAUAUAAUCAGUUCAAUGUCAAUAACACAGCCUAAUAUUUUCAAUCUAUUACAAUUGAUAAAAUCACCAAUGCCCUGGACGUUCUGCCAUCUUAGGCGAGACAAAAAUAAUGACAUCUUAGGCGUCCUCAUGAAUCUAAGCAUGGCACCUUUCAAAUGUUACCUUUCCACCCAGACAGAGGCUCUACUGACGCAGAAAACUGUAAGCUUCAACUGCUGGCUACUUGUCCGUUGUAUAACCCAACAACAGAAGUGCUUCCCUAACAGCUGCCUGGGUUGAAACAAACAUCUUCUCUCUUCAGAAAGAGAAAAGCUCAAUUAAUAGGGACAGAAGAGCAAAGUAAAUUUGUUUUCUCCCCUCGAAUAUUAUAGGCUGCAGCUCAGCUUCAGAUUGUCAUAGAGAGGAAUCAAUAAAUCCCCAUAUGCAUUGGAGUCCCGUCUUUCGCGGGCAUCUUAGAGCUUGUUUCUACCACAAGGCAUCACCGAGUUAAGCAUUAUUAUAGAACACUUAAUAUAAUCUGGAUAUGUUUUAUGUAUUUCUUUCAAAAUAUAAAGCUAACAAUAGAUUUGGCCUUUUCUUUAACAAAGGGUAUUAUCACGUUUCAGGUAAGACCCAAAUGCAGACUGUGUUGAAGUAACAAUGUUUAUUACAGCAACAGGGGCAGGCAAACGAACAGGUCAAGGCAGGCAGGGGUUGAUAAUCCAGAGUAGUGGCAAAGGCACAGGACGGCAGACAGGGGCAGGCAGAGAUGAAAACCAGGAGAGCGAGAAAAAGAGAGACUGGGGAAAAGCAGGAGCUGAGACAAAACGCUGAUUGACUUGACAAACAAGACAAACUGGCAACGGACAAACAGAGAACACAGGUAUAAGUACCCAGGGGGUAAUGGGGAAGAUGGGCGACACCUGGAGGGGGGUGGAGACAAGCACAAGGACAGGUAAAACAGAUCAGGGCGUGACAGGUAUGUGAUACCCUCACUCAAUUCGAGCCCUGGUUUUAGCCAAACACACCAAGCCCUUCCCAGACACGGAGGUAUUUCAUCAGUGCAUGCGACAGUAUUGGAUCAUUUGGCUAUACCAACAUUUAUGGAUAGGAUAAUUGUGUCUGUCACUUAUUUUUUGGAAGAUGAAGAAAUAGCUCCAAUUAUAUAUGUAAUUCUAUGAUUAUGCCCAUAAAACAUUUUGGUGCACACGUGCACAUAUAGGAGGUCCCUUACCAGGCAGAAGGGAAUUUUACUGUAACUCCUGCAUCGGAGAGUUACAUUGUUGCUAUCACUAUGAAACCUUCUACCUAUAGUAGGAAAACGAGUUUCUUAUUAAUAAUAUCCCACCUGUUAUCACACAUGGCAUGACCACAUAAUUGUUACAAUUACAAUAAAAAUAACACUUUUAUAUAACAUAUUUAACAUAUAUUUGAAUAUUCUUGUAGAACUGUAAAACAGAGUAAUAUAUUUGAGCUUUGGAAACAAGUGCCUUCAUAAAUGCAUGACGGGCAUCGUUUCGCUGGAGCAGUGUAAAAUAAGCUUUAUGUCAAUGACCCAGCCUUAACGAAUUUAGUUUAUUUACAUAUCGAAUUUGAUUGUCCAACAUCAGUUUCAGCAUUUACUGUAUUUAUUUAGUCUCCACCUAGAGUGGUCUCUUUCCUUUGCUGGGGUCCUGCAUUGCAGACAGCGAUGUUUUCUCUCGGUAGCUGUCCAUGGUCCUGAAACCAAACAUCGGAGUUUGCUUGGAUACCAGCCUGAUCUCCAGCUCCUUCCACCUCCGUAAACUAUCUAGAUGGUCAUGCGACUUCUCAAGCGAGCUGAGGAGGUGGCACAGAUUCUUCCAGUCCCUGGCUCCAUCUCUGAACAGAGCAGAUUUGCACUCGUGUGAAAAAUGUUUGCAGCAAUAACAGAAGGUUGCAUGGUUUUGCUUGGAAUAGACAAGCCUUGGUCUCUCCACUCUCUCCCCGUUCGCCAUCCUCCUAUUGUAGUGGGCCACCGAACACUUUCGUUGCCCCUCAUCUCUUGGGAAAUUCCCCGCCUUAAUCUGAUGGGGCCCAGCCUGCAUUAACAUAUCCCGUAAAGAUCCAUUCGUAUAUUUUGGCCACUCACCGGGAUCUUUUUUUUUUUUGUCUGGGAGUUGGAUUUAGCAGCACCACCACUGUCAUCAGGGACAGAGAGCGAUGAAUCUGAGUCUGGGUCCAAGAUAGUAGGGUCUUCCCCGGCAUUGUUUGGAGGUGUGGCUAGGCCUGGUGCGACCACCUGUUCUUGUCCAGCCAGAGAGCUGUCAUCGAGUGCAUGGCUCGGACUCCUCCGGUUUGCCCUCUUCGCUGCUAGAAUCAGCGAACGGGGGGCUCGUCGUUCUCGGCGAAUGAAUGACCUGUCCUCGCAGGCUUGACAUUCUCCACACCGGCUGAUGGACAUUGCUGCACGCUGAUACAUUUCACCAGUAAAUUUCUUUGGUUUAGAGACUGGGCCUCUUUCUCAUUGUUUUAAAAAAAAUAUUAGCUUCCUGAUAGUUUUUGUCUCUUAGACAUGGUAG